rnacentral:lncRNA from 1 species
GUGGCAAUGUUGGGGCAAUUUUGUCCAGUAAUUUUUUUUGAUCAAGGGUUGAGAGCAGUUGUCACGAGAAGCCACGUGAAAAAAGAAGCCACAAGAAUUACCCAAACCCCCUUUACAUGUAACAAAAGUUACAAAACCACCUACCACAACUAAACAAAACUCAACAGGUAAAUUAACCCAAAAAUUUGUCAGAAGCAGAAAAAGAAGACGUGAACAAUUUUUUGCUGAAACAGAACAAAAUCCCUGAAAUCGCUACUUCCUAAUGUCCUUGACCUUGUACCAUCCCUUCUUGCAUGAAUCUCCAACAAUCUUCACCCCUUCCUGGAAAAGGAUCUUCAAUUCCUUGGCCCUUUCCUUCACUUUAUGCUCAAAAGCUCCCCAUUUCUUGAAAAACAAGAGCAGAGAAGAGAAACAGAGGCAGGCAAAAGAGUUUCUACAUUGAGCAGGUGGGCUUAUGAAAAGUGCGUGAACAGCUGCUCACUGUCCAGCAAUUUACUGACCCUACAACUCAACUCCUCUGUUUAUUCGUAAAUAACAACUGUGUGUAUGCUUGAGACCUCGUUGCCAGGUAGCUGGCACAAUAGCCGCGAUUUCAGAAAGAUGCUCCCUUUCCUUGCCAAUGUUAUUAUUAUCCUCCGGGUGUCCCUCCCGUUUAAUUUGAUUAAAGUGGGGCUCGAUUUUGCGGCACGCCGAGCAGCCUUGGCUACGUUGCUAGGCGGGAGUGGAGUUUGGGGACGUCUGCUCCGGCUGCAGCAACCGGCAGUCCUCUGGUUGAACGGUUAGUCCUGGUGGAAGGAUGUGAAGUAGUUUCGGAUUCAUCUUCUUGGGUGGAGGUGGUGGCGGUUCCUCUGGCAGCGGUGCGAGGAACGCUGAGGGAUGCGACUUGGGGUUUGGCUGGCGACUCGGUGGAAGAUGCCGAAGGUCCAGCAACUCCUCUAUUGUUCUGAAAUUAGCCGUAUCGGACUUUUGGGGUCAGUAAAUUGCUGGAUAAAAUUGUCCCGGACAUUGCUACGUGUAAUGCUAAUUUUAGAACUUAAGAAUAAUUAACG